GAGUUGCGAACGGGUGAGUAACGCGUAGGUAACCUGCCUGGUAGCGGGGGAUAACUAUUGGAAACGAUAGCUAAUACCGCAUAAGAUUGACUAUUGCAUGAUAGUCAGUUAAAAGGUGCAAUUGCAUCACUACCAGAUGGACCUGCGUUGUAUUAGCUAGUUGGUGGGGUAACGGCUCACCAAGGCGACGAUACAUAGCCGACCUGAGAGGGUGAUCGGCCACACUGGGACUGAGACACGGCCCAGACUCC
rnacentral:rRNA from 1 species